GCAAGAAUCCCACAUGGGUUUUGAGUCUCCCUCUCCGAGAGAGCUCCUUAGCCUUUCGAGUUUCCUUAUUUUGAGUUUCCCUGCCAUUAUGAAGGGAGAACGAACUAGGCCUUCCUGUUUUUCUCUUUACGCUACUGUCUGGCGAGCUUCGAUGGCCCUCUUUACGCUACUGUCCGAAGGGGAGCCUGUCUCCUCUUCGAAGAUUCUAGCGACCUUCCUGUUUUGCCCUUCAAGAUUUUGGUGACCUUUGGUGGCCCUGUUUACGCUGCUGCCCAAAGGAGAGCAUGUCUCCACUUCGAAUGAAGGUCUCGAUGGCCCUGUUUUGCUUUCCCCUCCUUGGUUAGCCCUCCAAGAUUCUUGUGACCUUCGAUAGCCUUGUUUAUGUUGUUGUUUGAAGGAGAGCUUGUCUCCUCUUUGAAGGAAGGUCUCGAUGGCCCUGUUUUUCCCUCUCUGUUUUGCCCUUCAAGAUAGCCUACCUUGAUCAGGAGAUCUUGCUAUUUUCUAGCGACCUUCCAAGGAAGUAUAAUCAAUUCUUUUUGCAUGGACACAUGUACUACAUGCUACCUCGUAGAUCUUAUCAAUGAUAAAUCUGAUAGAUUAUGUCCGCCCGUCACUUGCAGUAGUUCUCAUCUAAGAAUUAUUUUACUGUAUUUUUUUGCAUGCUCAAAUGGGAAUAAUUGUGUAAAGUGUCUGUGCCUUCGUAUUUCAAUGGGAUUUUUUAUUGUAUUUUUUUGCAUGCUUGACUGUGAAAGUGUGUCUCUUCAUAUUUCAGUGGGAUUAAUCGUGUAAAGUGUCAGUCUCUUCAUAUUUUCAGUCAGUGUUUGAUUGACUAGGUGAAUAGCCAUAAUAAUUUCUUCUCCUCGGUAGAUGGUAUUUGUUUGUUGAUCAUUUUCUAUAUAUACCUUCUUAUAUGAAAUUCAUACUACUGAAACCACCAUUCUCUCUUUGCACUUCUACUACUCUCUUUUUACUUUUCUGGUACUGCCUUUCACUGUUCUCCUUCUAUCUUCCUUUGUUUCCAUUCUUGCUGUUUGGGUUCUUGCCUAGGUUCUUCUGGUUGCAACAAAAAUUAGGUCAGCAUGUUAUUAGAUAAAACAUUUAUUACUUCUAUAAUUGUUGUUUAGUGCUCCAUUAUAUUGCUGGCACUAUGCUACUCCCAAAAUCUUUUUCUACAGCCUUGUCUUUUUCGUGCCAGGCCUCAUUGACAGUCACACUACAUCAUCCUUCCACUGUUCUCCUUCCAUCUUCCUCUUAUCAUGUUCUUGUCGUUUGGGUUCUUUUGGUACUACCUUUUACUCCAUUGCAAUAAAAAUUAGGCCUCAUUGAAGAUCACAUUGAACCAGCCUUCCACUGUUCUCCUUCUAUCUUCCUCUCAUUCCAUUCUUGUCGUUUGGGUUCUUCUAGUACUGCAUUUUACUCAAUUGCAAUAAAAAUUAGGUCUUCAUAUUCUGUUCUAUAAAUUUUGCCUAGUUUUUCUUGCCUGCUACACAAACACAAUCAUGCAUGAAUGUUCUAUUUUGAUGGCACUGACUGAUAAAAAUAAGAUCCUUUCUCCCCCACAAGAGAGAUUUACACCUAUCAAGGAAUAAAAGUAUCAAUUGGUAUAAACCGAUAGGCAUUGAUUUUUGUCUGGGUUCUUCUGGUACUACCUUUUACUCCAUUGCAAUAAAAAUUAUGUCUGCAUGUUAUUAGAUAAAACAUUUAUUACUUCUAUAAUUAUUGUUUAGUGCUCUAUUAUAUUGUUGGCAUUGUGCUACUCCCAAAAUCUUUUGCUACAUUGUAAUAAAAAUUAGGUCUGUUAUUAGAUACAGGGACGGAGCCAGGGGUGGUGGAGGGGAGCCAUGGCCCCCCCUAUGCCUUCAAAAUUCCCUUUAAAUCUAUUUAAGUUCCACUUGUAUUUUAGCCCCUUUACUCAUGUUCCCUUGCUUUUGGCCCCCCCUGUUCAUGUUUUCUAGGUUUUGCCCCCCCAAAAAAAAAUCCCAGCUCCGCCACUGAUUAGAUACAAAAAUCAACAAUUUUAUAUUUCAAACCAAGUUCUUUUUUCUAUACUGAUAUUGAACUCUAAUAUUUAUGAUGUUUUGACUUGUCUUUUUUGUGAUAGGCCUCAUUGAAGAUCACAUUGAAUCAGCCUUCCAUUGUUCUCCUUCUAUCUUCCUUUCAUUCCAUUCUUGUUGUUUGGGUUCUUCUAGUACUUACCUUUAAUUCCAUUGCAAUAAAAAUUAGGUCUUCGUGUUCUGUUUCUAUAAAUUUUAACUAGCUUUUUUUGCCUGCUAUACAAAUACAAUCAUGCAUGAAUGUUCUGUUUUGAUAAUGAUGACUAAUAAAAAUAAGAUCCUUUCUCCCCCACAAAAGAGAUCUAUAUUUAUCAAGGAAUAAAAGUAUUAAUUGAUAUAAACUGAUAGGCAUUGAUUUUUGCCCGGGUUCUUUUGGUACUACCUUUUACUCCAUUGCAAUAAAAAUUAGGUCUGCAUGUUAUUAUAUAAAACAUUUAUUACUUCUAUAAUUUUUGUUUAGUGCUCCACUAUAUCGUUGGCAUUGUGCUAUUCCCAAAAUCUUUUGCUACAUUGUAAUAAAAAUUAGGUCUGUUAUUAGAUACAAAACUCAACGAUUUUAUAUUUCAAACAAGUUUAUGAUGUGUUGACUUCUGCACACUAGUUUUGAAUUUUAAUGUCUUCGAUCUACUUCUCGUUGUUUAAUAUCAUCACCUUGGGGAGUUCGAAUCUACAGAUGAUGUUCCUUUAGAAGAAAUUCUAUACAUUGUGAGUUGUGAUGGAUACCAACAGCUCGACUUCCAUUCACUUAGUAAAAUAGUCUUCCACGACCACCAAGAACCUCCUCUGCCCGGUGGAAGGUGGGAAGGGACCAAGAAUACUUAUCCCCCACUAUGUGAAUGGCCACAGGCUAGUAAGGUACCUCAGGUUAGCGAAGGCUUAUUUGUUAUGUUAGCAUGCCGCUAACAGUUGUUGCACUUCCGGUCUAACUCCAUUGCAUCUGCCUUCAUUGUGGGCCAGUAGUAGCCUUCAUGGAUCUCACGUAACACGUAGUUCGCUUCUAUUUGUCACAACCGGCACAAGUAGGGGAGCAUGAACGACCUGCGAUACAUUUGCUCACCAAUGAUAACAUAGCGAGCGGGGUGUAGAUUGUUAAUGAGCGGGUCGAUCCAACUUGGUUCUGUAGCCAAAAUAGGAGCAAAUGUAAUUUAUCCUCCUUAUAAUGCUAGGUUAUGGCAGGUCUUCAAUGUAAAUUAUCCUCCUUAUAAUGUCUGUCGCACCGACCAUCUUUGAGAGCGCAUUGGCCUCGAUGUUUUCAGAUGUCGAGACUUACUAGGUGUACCAAGAGCGGAAGUUGGGCAGGAGCUCUCUAACCUUGGCUAGAUAGGCCGACAUAGUCGACUCUCGGGCCUCAUAUUGCUCGUUUACUUGGUUCACCAGUAGUUGUAAUACUACAUACAACGAGAUGCUUCACGCCGACCUCCUUUACCAAUGAUAGCCCGGCUAUUAGCGCCUUGUGCUCAUCUUCAUUGUUUGAGGCUCAGAACAUGAAUCAGAGAGCGUACUCCAAUUUCACUUCGCUAGGUCCGUAGAGGAUUAGUCUAGCUCGACUUCCACACCAAGAGUCAUCCACAAAGAGGAUCAAGGGCACCACGUCCCAAGUUGGGUUGGGUGUCGCACUAGUAGUAGCCUUUGAGGUGGUCAUAGGCUCCGCAACUCAAGGGUUAGUGUGCUUAAGGUACACUCGGUGACGAAGUCUGCCAGGAUCUGUGCCUUGAUCGCUGGGCAUGGAUCAAACUAGAUAACGUAUUCACUGAGCUUGAUUGCCCAUUUUGUCAACCUUUCUAAGACCUCGGGCUACUAAAGAACUCGCCUCAGAGGUCAAUUGGUUAGGACUACAAUGGUGUGGGCCUGUAAGUAAGGGCACUCUAUUUGGGCUGCUAACACCAAUGAGAAGGCAAACUUCUCAAUAUUGGGAAACCUAGUCUCAACAGCAUGUAGGACCUUCCUCACAUAAUAGACAGAUCGUUGCACUCUAUCCACUUCGCAGAUUAGGACCAAGAUGACUACCUCAUCACUCGUAGAGAGGUAGAGUUUUAGCUCAUCUCCAAGUUUGGCCUGGUCAACAAGGGCGAUGAACUUUAAUACCUUUUUAGCUCGCCAAACAUGAGUUGACACUUUUUGGUUCAUUUGAAGUCUUGGUUAUUUUUUAUGGCUUUAAAGAAUGGAAGGCACCGCCUAGCUGACUUUGACAUAAAUCGGUUCAGGGCGGCUAUCCGGCCUGUUAGCCUUUGGACCUCUUUAAUCAUCCUAAGGGGUCUCAUAUCUAGGAUGGCCUAGAUUUCGUUCGGGUUGGCCUCGACGCCAUGUCGGUUCACUAUGUACUCAAGGAACUUUCCCAACAAGACUCCAAUAACGCACUUAUUCAGGUUGAGUUUCAUGUUGUAUUUUCUUAAAAUAUCAAAAAUACAAUUUACAUAAGAAAUUAAAGAAUUUGAAAAUUGGGUUUUCACAACCAUAUCAUCAACAUAUGCUUCUAUUUUAUUAUCAAUUAAAUCAGAAAAAAUUUGUUUACAAGGCGUUGAUAGGUCGCUUCAGCGUUUUAAACCAAAGGGCAUAACUUUAUAGCAUUACAAGCCCGUUUCAGUUAUAAAGGUAGUGUCUCCUAGUCGGUUGGAUCCAUUUGGAUUUGGUUGUAGCCAGAGUAACUAUCCGUGAAGCUCAACAGCUCGAACCUUGAGGUCGAGUUUACCAAGUGGUCUAUCCUAAGGAGUGGGUAGUUGUCCUUUGUGUAGGCUCUAUUGAGGUCAGUGUAAUCGAUGCCCAUGCGCCAUUUGUCAUUGGCCUUCUUCACGAGCACUAGAUUUGCAAUCCAACUUGGAUUUUAGACCUCUCUAAUUAAGUUUGCUAUGAUGAGCUUCCCUACCUCCUCAUUUACUAUCCUUCACUGCUCUUGGGUGGGGUUCUUUUUCCUCUACCGGACUAGUCUAAUUAAAGGGUCAACAUUCAACAUAGGAAUUGUAAGUAGGGAGUGGUCUCCUUGAAAGACAGAGGAAGACUAGGAGCAGAGAAUCAACCAAGAGGUUUGGGCCAGGGAGGUGAGGAGAUGAUUGGAUAGGGAAUCUGAUGAUAGGGUUGAUUAAGAGUCAAAUGGAUGAAUUUCGUUAUGAGGGAGGGUCCAUAUUUAAAGGGAAGGAUCUUGAGAUCCUGAAAAGGAGCCAAAACCAUUUGUUUUCUACUAGGAAGGAGAAUAUUAGAUUCGUUGUUAGCCAAUAAGGAGUGCUGCUAGGGUUUCACCACGUGUUCUUAUGGGAUCUCUUGAAGGUUGACUUUCCUUUCACCUAGAGAUCCUCAUAACCCACGUGUAUUACCGCCUUUCGCGUCUCACUUAACUGACAUGGCAUUAAUGAUGUCAUCGCCUAAUAGGUAGCCUUUUAUUAAACCUAUGUGGCACCCGGUCAUGCAUGUAACUUAAAGUUUCACGUGCAACCAAUAUUCAGACCCGAUUUUGGGGAACCGUAGCUCAGUAACGAUUCAGGGUUUAUUGUGGGCGUGUAAUGAACCGUGGGUUCAUUGCAGACCUACGAUGCACCGUAGGUUCAUCACAGACCUGCAGUGUGUUGUAGGUUCAUCGCAAGGACCGAUUGGCUAUGGGUUGAUUGCAAGCGUCCAUGUGGUGUCAAUCCAGUGUUUAUUGUGCUCUUAGGGACUUAGUGAGCACUGUGUACCUACAUUAGCCCCCCUGCUUAUCUGUAAGUGGAAUCUUAUUGAUAAGCAUUUUGUCUUUGGAUUUGCUUUGAAGUUCUAUGAUGAGUCGAUGAAUACCUGUGCAUUGGAUUUGGAAAUCUACUCUGUUUUGGGAUUUCAUGUGGUUAGUAGAAAAUUAAAUUAGGCUUCUGUCAGCCCCCCUACCUGUUGAUAGGUCGGGAGUCGGUUACUUGAGCGGUCGUGUGUCUUUGUGUGUUAGCGUUUGUUCUUCAAUUGGAUUUCCUCUCUUCUGGAGUCUAGCCCCCUGUCUUUUGAUGAUUUGCUUUUUGUGAAUGGGCAACUCAGCAUUGGAUUUGCGAGUUUCAGCCCCCUAGCCAUUGAUACGAAGGAAAUUAGCAAAAGGCAUUAUCGUUGUUGUACCAAUGUGGGCGGUAGUCCCCCUUGUGUGUCAGGGUGAUGCCUUUUGUGGCUGCACAGUGUCAAUUGAAAGUGUAGGUCAGUGACGGAUGAAAGUCGAAGAAGAGAUUAACUGACGAUGACGUGGCAGGUAUCAUUAGCAUUUUCCUAACUGUCAUUUCGUAAUAAAUGCAGUCUAUUUGUGCGUGUGACACGGAUUUGAUAUCUAAUAUUUUAAGUGUCAGUUGAUGACAUGGCACUUUGCUUAAAUUAAUGCGCCAUUUCAUCCUGCCUUUGAAGGGCAUAUCUAUAAAUUUCUUUAGAUUACUUUUUCGUUAAGUACUCGUGCUUGUUCAUCUUCCUCAGUGUCGUUUGUCAUUCCCGACAUGUGGGAGCUGUGUUUAAAAGGACAGGGGUCUUCGUUGGAUUGUCACUUCGUCCUCUCGCUAUCUUCGUCAAAGUUUUACUCCACGACCCACUUUGUGCCAUCGUUCUCAUUUUCCAAUUCAACCAUUGUCUAUCGGCCAUGGCCCCAUGCCAAAAGGAAGUUGAAUGUCCCUUUGUUGACUUUGUCCGAGAAGUUGAUAUCGCUGAGUUAUUGCUGAGUUAUUGUCAGAGCAUGAAUCAGCCAUGGUGACCGAUGGGGGACGAGGUGUAGAUAGCCAGUGCCACCUUGCUGCCUUUAUUUUGUAUGUGGCCUCCCGCUUCCUUUUCCCGGGGCUUUCCGACUAUGGCUUGUGCAUAGUCUUAGUCCGUCUUGCCAUUCUCGCUGCUAGUGGCCACCAACUGUUGUUGGCCUUAAUAUUUUUUGGGGUAUUUCUACGAACAGAUGGACGACACCGUCCAACAGUUAAUGGACCCUAGUUGUAGGAGGCACAUCAGCUAUGUUUGUAUGCCAUUUCUGUGGAUGUUCUUGUGUGAACGCUUCGACCUCAACGUCACGCCUCGUCCUCUCUCCCCGAUGUAUGUCACUAUUGCCACCAUGUGUUGGCUUCUAGCAGGCAUAAGCAAUUCAAAAUGAGUGAGAUCGACCUGAGGUUGACUUCCCUUGAAGAAUUCGUAUGGAGGCCAUACACCCAAGCCAUCCGUCAUGCAAUGCCGUUCUGCGUUGGUGCUCCAAUCCCCAAGGAUGGCGACCAGCAAUGCACAAUGGAAGUCAACAGUCCUGGUGGGCGUGAUGCGAUUAGUAACUUGGUCCGGUGUCAUCGCGUACCUUGAUCACCCAGGUGAGGCUCAACUAAGUGCUUAUCGACUAGACUAGCUACUUCGCCAGUUUGGUUACGAUGAUAUGGGCAACCAAUUUUUAUGAUCAUCAAGAGGAGAUGUCUUCUGGGUUCGAUGCCAUGAACAUGCCGCCUUUCCUAGAUUUCAAGGUUCCCUGUUGUAGGGUAUUCUCGGGUUCAGGGUUGCAAAUCCCUUCAUUUUGCACACUUGUGCACGUUGUUCGAGGGUUUUCAAGAGCUGAUGAGGUCAAACUCCCACCCCCGUCGUGUCUUAGCCCCCUUGAAGGUGAGAGUUUAGCUGCUCCUCCGUCACACUCGCCGAAGAACGCAAGGACGGAGCAUGAGGGAAAGCACCCAAUUUUGGCAGAGGGAAAGAGUAGCCACCCUCCUCCGGUGAAAAGGCCAAAGUCAGCAAGGGUGCCUCGUUGAACGCAGCCACCAGUUUUUCAACGACCUGCUAGUUCGAACGUGGCUUCAUCGCAUGCCGAACCAAGGCCAGGCAAGAACCCUCCGCCUCAACACCCAUGGAGAAUGAUGCGCCAGACAUGGAAUCAAUGCAGUCGGCGAUUGUUGUUCCUCCACAGAAAGUUACCUAUGUCCGUUUCUCAAGCGGACGUGUGAAGAAAAUGGCUCCCCGUCCUCAGAAGAGGGGGCCAGUAGAAGAAGAUUCGGUAAGGGAGCUUGUCUCUGUUCCUGUUGUUUUAUUACUAUUGCAUCUAACUUUUCUAUAUUAUGACUGAUAUGUCUGGUUUUUAUUUUGCAAUCUAUGGAAACUGGCAAAGUUUUGUCAGGUUACUUAAGUUAUGUUCCAGAAUCCCCUCUCGAGGGUGUAAGUAUGCAAGUACAUGUAUAUUUGCUUUUCAUUUACUUGCGCUUGGUUUAUACUAACCAUUGUGUUUGACCUCAUCAUAGACUCCUAGGGAAAUAAACCCCUCUGAUCCAGUUCAGCCAGUCAUUAGGCGACUGCCACAAGUGGUGCAGUCGUCGCAGCCCCCACUCAGGUUCACAAGGCUACUGAAACUGUUGGCAUCGAUGACACGGCUCUAGAUACUGUGGCGUGGGAAAAGGAAGGCCCACUAGUGGAAUUCUUGUUAUUAGAGGCACCUGACUAGAGGCGGUCAGCAAAAAAAUGCCUUUAUAAACUACUAAAAGAGGUAGCUUAAUUUAGAUAGCAUUAGAGGCACUUUUAAAUGCCUCUUAAUUUUAUUUUGUAAUUUCACUUUUGGCCAAAACAUUAACAUUUCGUGCAUGAGUUUUCUCCUCCUCUUUUCCUCGCUUUCAUUUUUUUCUCUCCCGUUUCUUUUCCUUCUUCCUUUCCUCUCUUCUUCUCUUUCUCUCCUCUCGAGUGUGCAAGAUCUCCGCCAUUCGCAGUUCUUAGUUAGGGUCUCAAUCAGUUCUGAGUUCCACCAUUAAAGCAAGUUCUCCGCCAUUGAAGAAAGUUUGUCUUCUCAGCUUCAACACCAUUGUUUCUCAGAGUUCUCAGCUUCAUCAGGGUUUUGGAUAGGUAAACCUUUUAACAUUGCUCAGCCUUUGUUGAUGAUCUGUGGUUUCCCUUUUGUUUAUAGAGCUUGAAUUAAUUAUUUCAAAUUUUUGAGUUUUUAAAUUCGUAAUUUCCAUUAUUGAGCUUCACGGAUGAGAGAGCUCGUGGUAUAGUGUAGGUUUGUGCAACCUACUUUGGAAUUUCUUUUGUAGGUUUGUGCAACCUAUAGUGUAAGGACGAAACGGGAAGAGGGUCGUGUCGUGGUAGUUAGGCCGGAAUACAGCAGACGGAUAAUGUACGAAGUCCGGCAGUGAGGUACUACUGUUGGUUGCUUUUCGUUGUUUGCGUUAGUUGGUUCUUUAUAUUAGAGAUUCUGAUUUCGUCAUUGGAGAGAUGGGGCUUUUGUUGAGAGAAGCUCUGAGGUGUCUCUGCGGCGUGAGUAGAUGGUCGUAUGCGGUUUUCUGGAAGAUCGGUUGCCGGAAUCCGAAGCUUUUGGUUUGGGAAGAAUGUUAUUAUGAGCAUGCAUGGUAUUCCCUAAAAAGUCACCUUUCUCUUUCUUAGCUUGGGUGUCAAGUGGAUGAAGUUUGUUCUCUAGUUAACAAGAUGACGAUAAAUAACCAGGUCCAUGUGGAGAUGCUUGGUGAAGAACGGGGAUUGUUUCUUGAGAUUGCUGAUAUAAUUAGAGGGUUAGGGCUGACCAUUCUGAAGGGGGUAAUGGAGACCCGAUUUUGGGCAUGAUUUGCAGUUGAGGCAAAUAGGGAUGUGACAAGGGUGGAAAUAUUUCUUUCGCUGGUGAGCUUGUUAGAGCAAACCAUGAAGAACGGUUCAAUAGCAGCCAAAGGCAUUGACAAUGGCACAAUGAUAAAGCAUAACAACUUCCACCAAGCUUCCUUUCCAGCAACUGGUCGGGGGAUGGCAGUGAACUACCUCGUAAUGGUUCUCUUGAUUCCGACGUGUUGCAAGCAGGCUUGAACUUGAUGUUGGUCUGCCAUGACUAGCAUGAAAUCUGGCAUCUCGGAUGGUUCUAACACUGAGUUGUUUGGCUGAUUUUUGCAUUUUGUGAACCCGACACUAACUGACCUCUAAGGGAGGAGUGGUUUAGGGUGGGUAAAGCUCCUCAACAGCGUGGAUAGGGGCAAAUUUUCUUUGCAUGUUUCUUGGACCUAGAAACUAAAGCCAAUAUUAGGUCUGGUAUAAAGAAAAAUAUAUCUACAGGUUCUUGAUAGCAGUAGCACAAUGACAGUGGCCAGUGGGUGCCCUUGUUUAUCUAGAGAUGAGAUAAUAGAAGAAGGGGGUUGUUUUCUUUUCUUUUUUUGGGGAAAAGGCUUGUGUUUUGAUAGUAGUCCCCCUCUCGCUGAACUUGGGGGUAUGGAUGCAGUGUCUCUGACUAUUUUAGUUUUUUGGUUAUAGUCUCCUUUGUCGUAGCUGCAUGUUAAAUGUAAAUUAAGGGUGGGAAAUGAAAAUCAAAGGGCUGAGGUGUAUAUUUUAUCAAAAAAAUAUAUUAGCUUUUGUUUGGAUUGUAUUAAAUUCGUUCAGAUAUGUCCUGGCUAUUGGAUUUGAUUAGCUUGAUCUAUUAGGGUCAAAAGUGUUUUGGUUGGAAUUUAGUUAGUUGGAUUUAGUCUUAGAAGCGGGCUAUGGCAUGCUUCUUGGUUGAUAAAAUAUAUAGGAACAUGCUAAUUAAGAAAAUAUGGACAAAAUCAGUUAAAUACUACGAUUUUGGGGUAGAAAUAAUAUUUUAUGAGAGAUUUUUUACUUUAAAUUGUUUUGCUUUUUUUAAUAUUCAACUAAAUAAUUAAGCUUUCUUGAAUUUUAGAGAGCAUUGUAAAUUUGUAACUAAUAUAUUUUGUUUUUUUUUUCAUUUUUUCAAUUUUGAAGCCCUUUGCAUGAGGCAUAUGCCUCAUGAGGAGGAUAGGUGUUUUGGCUCUGCCUCACCUCAAGGUGUGUCAGUGCCCCGCCUCAAAUUCUUUUUUGAAUUGUAGUUGUGUGUAAUAAAGUUGGGAGAUAUGGAGAAACUUUAAUAUUUAUGAAGAAGAUGAUGAGCUAUUUGUGUGGCACAAUUGGUAUACAGAGAAACUUAUAAUCCGUAGUGAGAGAGAGAAAGAGAGAGGAGAAAGGUUUAAAGCUAUUCGUGUGGCACAGCUAGUAUCACCUCUACUUAUUCACUGAAACCACCUUCACAGAUUAAGAAUAUAGGUUUGUUAGUCAAGAUAAGGGAGGGGAGAAAGGUUUAAAGAAAAGAACAUUCAAUGCAUUGUUUGGAUGACCUCCAAACUUGAUUUUUCUUUAUGGUUUUACCAUUUUUCUUCCUAAUUUGUCUUCUCCAGUUGCCACAUUUCUAUUUGUGAUAUUUUGUGAAAUUAAAGGUCAUAUUCUUCUUUAAAUAUAAAUAAUUACUAUCAAUUUUUUCUAUCGUGCAGUCAGAGGAAGUCAGGUUAUGUGAUCAAGAGGAGCGGGAAUAGCUUGAAAGGAACAUAAGAGAAAAAAAGGAGUGUUGUUCGGAUCUGUUCUCUCAUUUGUUGAUAAGUUGAUUCAAUUGAUGCAGAAGUGAAAGGCGGAAAGGAAAGUUGGAUCCAUUCCUUACUAGAUUUGUAUGGUCUAUCCAGAACGGCUCUUAUUUAUUUUAACCGCUCUGUCUGGUAGCUGUUAUGACGAAAGAGCAAUCAGAUUACACAAAUCCAUUUGAAUCUGGCUCAAUUCCAUUUCCCUGUGAAAAUCUGCAGCAAGUCCAAACCCAAUUAAUUGUUGAAUUGAGCCCAAGGGCCACAACACUAAGCUUAUUCUAGCAAGCCCAAGAAGUUGGUUGCCAACUCAUGUAGGUCUCAUGUGAUUUUUGAAAUAGUAAAGAUUUUUUUUUUCUUAAAGAAAGAUGAUUUUAUACGAAAGAUUUUCCCAGUAUAAUUUGAUUGGAUCAUCAA